GAACGCUGGCGGCGUGCUUAACACAUGCAAGUCGAACGGGGCAAAGUGAUAGCUUGCUAUUAUGGAGCCUAGUGGCAAACGGGUGAGUAACGCGUAGGCAACCUGCCCUUCAGAUGGGGACAACACCUCGAAAGGGGUGCUAAUACCGAAUGACGUUGCGCUGUCGCAUGACGGUGCAACCAAAGGCCGGGCAACCGGUCACUGAAGGAUGGGCCUGCGUCUGAUUAGCUAGUUGGUGGGGUAACGGCCCACCAAGGCGACGAUCAGUAGCCGGUCUGAGAGGAUGAACGGCCACAUUGGGACUGAGACACGGCCCAAACUCCUACGGGAGGCAGCAGUGGGGAAUCUUCCGCAAUGGGCGCAAGCCUGACGGAGCAACGCCGCGUGAGUGAAGAAGGUCUUCGGAUCGUAAAGCUCUGUUGAGAGGGACGAGAGACAUAAUCAGGAAAUGGGUUAUGGAGGACGGUACCUUUCGAGGAAGCCACGGCUAACUACGUG
rnacentral:rRNA from 1 species